UACGGGGGGGGCAAGCGUUGUUCGGAAUUACUGGGCGUAAAGGGCUUGUAGGUGGCCAACUAAGUCAGACGUGAAAUCCCUCGGCUUAACCGGGGAACUGCGUCUGAUACUGGAUGGCUGGAGUGUGGGAGAGGGAUGCGGAAUUCCAGGUGUAGCGGUGAAAUGCGUAGAUAUCUGGAGGAACACCGGUGGCGAAGGCGGCACUCUGGGCCGGAACUGACGCUGAGGAGCGAAAGCGUGGGUAGCAAACAGG
rnacentral:rRNA from 1 species